UUCAGGGUCACUGAGAAACCCAAAAGAUCGAAUGGGGAGAUUCAUCGGCAACGAUGUUGGCUCCCGUUGGUGCGCGAUGCUCCGGAUGAAUCCUCGUGGUUCAUCGGCGAGGGCACACCACCUUCGGCUUGAAUGUUCCGGCAUCGUAGUCGUGCACUUCUCCCCUAGUAGAACGUCGCGACCCGUUGUGUGUCGGUCUACGGCCCGAGAGGGCGCCUGUCGCGUCGCUUCGCGCGCACGCGGCAGACCCUCGGUCGCCUGGCCGGCUGCACGACGGUACUCGCACGGUAUCGGGCCGCAACCAAUCCAUUUUUUCGAAUGUGUGUGCGUCAGGCCCGCCGCAAGCUCGGUCAGUUCUUACCCGGAGGCACGGACCUGGUGCCGUCCCCGGGCCUGGCCAGCUGUUAGCAGGCGGUGUCCUUGGACUGGCCAAGACUCGAAUUACCGGUCGGCGACGCUAUUGCUUUGGGUAAUCUCAGGACCCGUCUUGAAACACGGACCAAGGAGUCUAACAUGUGCGCGAGUCAUUGGGAUGCAAAAACCUAAAGGCGAAAUGAAAGUGAAGAUCGGACUUUGUGCCGAUCGAGGGAGGAUGGGCCGCGUUACUAUGCGGCCCCGCACUCCCGGGGCGUCUCGUUCUCAUUGCGAGAAGAGGCGCACCUAGAGCGUA
rnacentral:rRNA from 1 species